rnacentral:tRNA from 1 species
GCCGACAUAGCUCAGAUGGUAGAGCGCGCCCGUGGUAAGGGCGAGGUCUCCGGUUCGACCCCGGAUGUCGGCACCA